rnacentral:sRNA from 1 species
GAGGGCUGUAACCUUAUUCCACAUAUGACAACCUAUGAACUGUCUUUGCCUUUCCUCACUAAAGUAGGGAGGCAAAACCCCAAUGGCGAGGCAGCAGGGGAAGAGCACUCAACUUAGAAGAACCAGGUUAUAGGCCGGGCGUGGUGGCUCACACCUGUAAUCCCAGCACUUUGGGAGUCUGAAGUGGGCAGAUCACUUGAGGUCAGGAGUUCGAAACCAGCCUGGCCAACAUGGUGAAACCCCGUCUCUACUAAAAAUACAAAAAAAUUAGCCGAGUGUGGUGGUGCAGGCCUGUAAUCCCAGCUACUUGGGAGGCUGAGGCACGAAGAAUCGCUUGAACCCAGGAGACAGAGGUUGGGGUAAGCUGAGAUUGCACCACUGCACUCCAGCCUGGGCAACAGAGUGAGACUCCAUCUCUAAAAAACAGAAGAAGAACUGGGUUCUAGUCCUGCCUUCUGCCUUCGUUACCCUGGGACUCCUGGUGAGACACUGCUAUAUAAAGGGAACCAGCCACCUGCCCUCCCAACACUGUAUAUCUGUUGCAAGGCUCAGUCACACAGGUGCUUUGAAAUGCAGACAUUCCACAUGAAUAUAAGUUUUGGGUUUUAAGUUUCUCUUAAAAUUCACUGAUUGGUUAAAAAAUCACAUACCAAUCCAUGAUUGAGUGAUACAGUCCUCACAUAAAUAAAAAGCCUGUUCCUCCCACUGGGAAGCAUUUGAGCAGAAAGUAGAAUCCCUAAGGGAGUGAGUCCUCACUGCAAAGGUGAGGAAGGUGCUGCAGCUUGUAUGUCUGAUCAAGAAUAUUUUGACUUAGUCAUGAUUCUUUUUUUCCCUUAGGUUGAUGAGAACAUGAAGGUAGCACAGAAAAGAGAUGCUGUCUUGCAGGGAAUGUUUUAUUUCAGGAAAGAUAUUUGCAAAGGUAUUACAUUAUCUUAGAUUUCUAAUGUCAGCUUAUGCUGCAACAAGCUGCUAAAGCUCCCCUGACCCUCUUCUCCGGCAGGUGGCAACGCAGUGGUGGAUGGUUGUGGCAAGGCCCAGAACAGCAUGGAGCUCGCUGCAGAGGAGUACACCCUCAUGAGCAUAGACACCAUCAUUAAUGGGAAGGUAGGAGGGUGGCCCUGUACAGUACGCCUCACUGUGCACAUCCCCUAGCAGGGAGUUCAUAACGUGUCUUGCUUCUUGUAGGAAGGUGUGUUUCCUGGACUGAUCCCAAUUCUGAACUCUUACCUUGAAAACAUGGAAGUGGAUGUGGACACCAGAUGUAGUAUUCUAAAUUACCUAAAGCUAAUUAAGAAGAGAGCAUCUGGAGAACUAAUGACAGUUGCCAGAUGGAUGAGGGAGUUUAUCGCAAACCAUCCUGACUACAAGCAAGACAGUGUCAUAACUGAUAAAAUGAAUUAUAGCCUUAUUUUGAAGUGUAACCAAAUUGCAAAUGAAUUAUGUGAAUGCCCAGAGUUACUUGGAUCAGCAUUUAGGAAAGUAAAAUAUAGUGGAAAUAAAACUGACUCAUCCAACUAGAUGUUCUACAGGAAAGAAAAAUGCGUUACUAUUUUAUUGACGAACUGGCUACAGUACCAUGCCUCUCAGCCCAUGUGUAUGAUAUGAAGACUAAUGUUAGAACUGUACUGUUUUCUGGGCCAGUGAGCCGGAAAUUGAUUAAGGCUUUCUUUGGUAGGUAAAUCUAGAGUUUAUACAGUGUACAUGUACAUAGUAAAGUAUUUUUGAUUAACAAUGUAUUUUAAUAACAUAUCUAAAGUCAUCGUGAACUGGCUUGUACAUUUUUAAAUUCUUACUCUGGAGCAACCUACUGUCUAAGCAGUUUUGUAAAUGUAAUGUACUGGUAAUUGUACAAUACUUGCAUUCCAGAGUUAAAAUGUUUACGGUAAAUUUUUGUUCUUUUAAAGACUACCUGGGACCUGAUUUGUUGAAAUUUUUCUCUUUAAAAACACUUUCUCUCAUUAAUUUUCCUUUGUCAUUUCCUUUGUUGUGUACAUUAAAUCACUUGAAUCCAUUGAAAGUGUUUCAAGGGUAAUCUUGGGUUUCUAGCACCUUAUCUAUGAUGUUUCUUUUGCAAUUGGAAUAAUCACUUGGUCACCUUGCCCCAAGCUUUCCCCUCUGAAUAAAUACCCAUUGAACUCUGA